AUGACUGAUAAUAAGCUUGCGUACAUCCAGAAUGAGGCUAUAUCCAGAGAGUGCACAAGGACUCUCACGGUUACAAAGGAUACGAAGCAGCCAAUUUAUGCCUACUACCAACUUGACAACUUUUAUCAGAAUCAUAGGAGAUCACUGUUCUUUUCAUUCCUCCAAUUGAAACCAUGGCUGCCAGUAUUGAGGUCACUUGCUAUUCCUGCUUUUACUAAUGUAAAUUUUACUUAUUUGUUUUGGUGGCUUAGGUGA
rnacentral:rRNA from 1 species